GGGUUGUGAGGUUAAGCGACUAAGCGUACACGGUGGAUGCCCUGGCAGUCAGAGGCGAUGAAGGACGUGCUAAUCUGCGAUAAGCGUCGGUAAGGUGAUAUGAACCGUUAUAACCGGCGAUUUCCGAAUGGGGAAACCCAGUGUGAUUCGUCACACUAUCAUUAACUGAAUCCAUAGGUUAAUGAGGCGAACCGGGGGAACUGAAACAUCUAAGUACCCCGAGGAAAAGAAAUCAACCGAGAUUCCCCCAGUAGCGGCGAGCGAACGGGGAGGAGCCCAGAGCCUGAAUCAGUGUGUGUGUUAGUGGAAGCGUCUGGAAAGGCGCGCGAUACAGGGUGACAGCCCCGUACACAAAAAUGCACAUGCUGUGAGCUCGAUGAGUAGGGCGGGACACGUGGUAUCCUGUCUGAAUAUGGGGGGACCAUCCUCCAAGGCUAAAUACUCCUGACUGACCGAUAGUGAACCAGUACCGUGAGGGAAAGGCGAAAAGAACCCCGGCGAGGGGAGUGAAAAAGAACCUGAAACCGUGUACGUACAAGCAGUGGGAGCACGCUUAGGCGUGUGACUGCGUACCUUUUGUAUAAUGGGUCAGCGACUUAUAUUCUGUAGCAAGGUUAACCGAAUAGGGGAGCCGAAGGGAAACCGAGUCUUAACUGGGCGUUAAGUUGCAGGGUAUAGACCCGAAACCCGGUGAUCUAGCCAUGGGCAGGUUGAAGGUUGGGUAACACUAACUGGAGGACCGAACCGACUAAUGUUGAAAAAUUAGCGGAUGACUUGUGGCUGGGGGUGAAAGGCCAAUCAAACCGGGAGAUAGCUGGUUCUCCCCGAAAGCUAUUUAGGUAGCGCCUCGUGAAUUCAUCUCCGGGGGUAGAGCACUGUUUCGGCAAGGGGGUCAUCCCGACUUACCAACCCGAUGCAAACUGCGAAUACCGGAGAAUGUUAUCACGGGAGACACACGGCGGGUGCUAACGUCCGUCGUGAAGAGGGAAACAACCCAGACCGCCAGCUAAGGUCCCAAAGUCAUGGUUAAGUGGGAAACGAUGUGGGAAGGCCCAGACAGCCAGGAUGUUGGCUUAGAAGCAGCCAUCAUUUAAAGAAAGCGUAAUAGCUCACUGGUCGAGUCGGCCUGCGCGGAAGAUGUAACGGGGCUAAACCAUGCACCGAAGCUGCGGCAGCGACGCUGAUGCGUUGUUGGGUAGGGGAGCGUUCUGUAAGCCUG
rnacentral:rRNA from 1 species